rnacentral:rRNA from 1 species
UACGUAGGGUGCGAGCGUUGUCCGGAAUUACUGGGCGUAAAGAGCUCGUAGGUGGUUUGUCGCGUUGUUCGUGAAAUCUCACGGCUUAACUGUGAGCGUGCGGGCGAUACGGGCAGACUAGAGUACUGCAGGGGAGACUGGAAUUCCUGGUGUAGCGGUGAAAUGCGUAGAUAUCAGGAGGAACACCCAUGGCGAAGGCAGUAAACUGGUCGACAUCUGACGCUGAGGCGCGAAAGUGUGGGUAGCAAACAGG